AGCGGAGGAAAAGAAACUAACCAGGAUUCCCUUAGUAACGGCGAGUGAACAGGGAAAAGCCCAGCACCGAAGCCUGUGGUCGUUUGGCCCCUAGGCAAUGUGGUGUUCAGGUUAGCUCGCGAAGAUGCUGCUCCACCCUAAGUCCUAUAAUGAGUAAGGUUACUCGGACAUGGCCCAAUGAGGGUGAAAGGCCAGUGGGGGUGGAGAUUC
rnacentral:rRNA from 1 species